GGAAUAUUGGGCAAUGGAGGAAACUCUGACCCAGCGACGCCGCGUGCGGGAUGAAGGCCUUCGGGUUGUAAACCGCUUUCAGUAGGGAAGAAGCGAAAGUGACGGUACCUACAGAAGAAGCACCGGCUAACUAUGUGCCAGCAGCCGCGGUAAUACAUAGGGUGCAAGCGUUGUCCGGAAUUAUUGGGCGUAAAGAGCUCGUAGGUGGUUCGUUACGUCGGAUGUGAAAAUCUGGGGCUCAACCCCAGACCUGCAUCCGAUACGGGCGAGCUAGAGUUUGGUAGGGGAGACUGGAAUUCCUGGUGUAGCGGUGGAAUGCGCAGAUAUCAGGAGGAACACCAAUGGCGAAGGCAGGACUCUGGGCCAUUACUGACACUGAGGAGCGAAAGCGUGGGGAGCGAACAGGAUUGGAUACCCUGGUAGUCCACGCCGUAAACGGUGGGCACUAGUUGUGGGGACCUUCCACGGUCUCUGCGACGCAGCUAACGCAUUAAGUGCCCCGCCUGGGGAGUACGAUCGCAAGAUUAAAACUCAAAGGAAUUGACGG
rnacentral:rRNA from 1 species